rnacentral:rRNA from 1 species
GACAGAGGUGCCGAGCGUUAGGCGGAAUCACUGGGCUUAAAGCGUGUGUAGGCGGGCGGGCAAGUACCUUGUGAAAUCCCACGGCUCAACCGUGGAACUGCUGGGUAUACUGCCUGUCUUGAGCCAGCCAGGGGCAGUCGGAACAGACGGUGGAGCGGUGAAAUGCGUAGAUAUCGGGAGGAACACCUGUGGCGAAAGCGGCGCACUGGACCAUAACUGACGCUGAUGCGCGAAAGCGUGGGGAGCGAACAGG